rnacentral:ncRNA from 1 species
CUGUCACAACGGCUUCCUGACGUGACGGAUUUAACCCAUUGGAGCA